UACGUAGGGUGCAGGCGUUAAUCGGAAUUACUGGGCGUAAAGCGUGCGCAGGCGGUUUGCUAAGACAGGUGUGAAAUCCCCGGGCUUAACCUGGGAACUGCGCUUGUUACUGGCAAGCUAGAGUGUGGCAGAGGGGGGUGGAAUUCCAGGUGUAGCAGUGAAAUGCGUAGAGAUGUGGAGGAACACCGAUGGCGAAGGCAGCCCCCUGGGUCAAAACUGACGCUCAUGCCCGAAAGCGUGGGGAGCAAACAGG
rnacentral:rRNA from 1 species